CCAGUGAAGGAUGUCUGUGUGCCGCCUUGCAUUCAGUUUCUCAGCCAUGGGGGCCUGCUUGCAACACCAGUGGAAAAGCAGUCUUGCAUUGUGCUAUUUGUUCUGGAAGGACACAAGCAUUGAGGAGCCAUUUGACCUGCCACUACACUGAUAUUGUAUUUGGCAAAGCAGGAGGCAUGUGCAAGCAACUAGUCAUUCCGAUUCUCAACCAAUCCUUCUAGUCAGGCCAUUUCUAGUGUCUUAUCUUGCAAGUUCUUUUUUUCAGUAAAGCACAAUAAACAUGCAGUUUCGUUCAGA